rnacentral:rRNA from 1 species
CAGUCGCCGCGGUAAUACGUAGGUGGCAAGCGUUGUCCGGGAUUAUUGGGCGUAAAGGGCUCGCAGGCGGUUUCUUAAGUCUGAUGUGAAAGCCCCCGGCUCAACCGGGGAGGGUCAUUGGAAACUGGGAAACUUGAGUGCAGAAGAGGAGAGUGGAAUUCCACGUGUAGCGGUGAAAUGCGUAGAGAUGUGGAGGAACACCAGUGGCGAAGGCGACUCUCUGGUCUGUAACUGACGCUGAGGAGCGAAAGCGUGGGGAGCGAACAGGAUUAGAUACCCCAGUAGUCCCUGUCUCUUAUAC